rnacentral:rRNA from 1 species
UACGUAGGGUCCGAGCGUUGUCCGGAAUUAUUGGGCGUAAAGGGCUCGUAGGCGGUUUGUCGCGUCGGGAGUGAAAACACCGGGCUUAACUCGGUGCUUGCUUUCGAUACGGGCAGACUGGAGGUAUGCAGGGGAGAACGGAAUUCCUGGUGUAGCGGUGAAAUGCGCAGAUAUCAGGAGGAACACCGGUGGCGAAGGCGGUCUCUGGGCAUUACCUGACGCUGAGGAGCGAAAGUGUGGGGAGCGAACAGG